rnacentral:rRNA from 1 species
AACGACUCUCGGCAACGGAUAUCUCGGCUCUCGCAUCGAUGAAGAACGUAGCGAAAUGCGAUACUUGGUGUGAAUUGCAGAAUCCCGUGAACCAUCGAGUUUUUGAACGCAAGUUGCGCCCGAAGCCUCCGGCUGAGGGCACGUCUGCCUGGGCGUCACGC